rnacentral:lncRNA from 1 species
CCAGAGCAUGCCCGUGCAGAACCAGAUGACAAUGAGUCAGGGGCAGCCAAUGGGAAACUAUGGUCCCAGACCAAACAUGAAUAUGCAACCAAAUCAAGGUCCCAUGAUGCACCAGCAGCCUCCUUCUCAGCAGUACAGCAUGCCACCUGGAGGUGCGCAGCAUUACCAAGGACAGCAGGCGCCCAUGGGGCUGAUGGGUCAAGUUAACCAAGGCAGUCACAUGAUGGGCCAGAGACAGAUGCCUCCCUAUAGACCUCCACAACAGGGCCCACCACAGCAGUACUCAGGCCAGGAAGACUAUUAUGGGGACCAAUACAGUCAUGGUGGACAAGGUCCUCCAGAAGGCAUGAACCAGCAAUAUUACCCUGAUGGAAACUCGCAGUACGGCCAGCAGCAGGACGCUUACCAAGGACCACCUCCACAGCAAGGAUACCCACCCCAGCAGCAGCAGUACCCGGGGCAGCAGGGCUACCCAGGACAGCAGCAGGGCUACGGUCCUACCCAGGGCGGUCCAGGGCCUCAGUAUCCUAAUUAUCCUCAGGGUCAAGGUCAGCAGUAUGGGGGCUAUAGACCAACACAGCCAGGACCACCACAGCCACCGCAGCAGAGGCCUUAUGGGUACGACCAGGGACAAUAUGGAAAUUACCAGCAGUGAAAAUGUCCUUACAUUCCAAUAGCCAGCACCUAUUAGCAGCCACAUUGUCACAGCUCUGCACCGUGGACACCCCCGGGGAAGGCUCCUUCCAUUCCAACUAGUUUUUGGAAAAACCUUUGGCUAAAUGGCUGCUUCAUUGGCAAGUAGCUUUUAUGGUGUAGUUUCUAAAGGCUUUCGUAGCUACCAACGCACCUGAUUUCACGUUUCUACUCUAGAUGGCAACAUUGGACAGAAAAUGCACUGACACAAGGACUUGGCAGCCAUUUCAACUGUGUUCCAAAUGGACUGUCACAGACUGAAAGGUGUGAACAGUUUUGCGUGUUCACGGAGGUUGAGGGUUUCAUACUUUUCCACAGAUUAUUUUGUAAGGGGAAGGGGAAAUGUACACUUUCUACAGCAGCCAUAUUUUGUCUAUAUGUUUAUUUCAUGUGGUGAAUAUGCAAAGCGGUACACUCCACACUGGGCAGAGAACCGGA